rnacentral:rRNA from 1 species
UACAGAGACUGCAAGCGUUAUUCGGAUUCACUGGGCGUAAAGGGUGCGCAGGUGGCCAGGUGUGUUAGGCGUGAAAGCCCGGGGCUUAACCCCGGAAUUGCACCUAAAACUACUUGGCUAGAGCAUUGGAGAGGGGAGCAGAAUUCAUGGUGUAGCAGUGAAAUGCGUAGAUAUCAUGAGGAAUACCAGAGGCGAAGGCGGCUCCCUGGACAAUUGCUGACACUCAGGCACGAAAGCGUGGGGAGCAAAAGGGAU